rfam:Heterocephalus glaber contig55848, whole genome shotgun sequence.
CCUCCCUUUCUUGGCGGAGAGUGGGCGCGUGGUCCCGCUCCCCGUUAUGUACGGAGGCAAAAGAAGGGGCUCCGGCCCCCCCGGCGUCAUGUCUUCGGUGCCGGCAGUGUCCCGUCUGCCGGUUCUAUCCUCUAGCGCCGCCGGGACAGGC